UACGGACGGGGCAAGCGUUGUUCGGAAUCAUUGGGCGUAAAGGGCGCGUAGGUGGUUCUGUGUGUCUACCGUGAAAGCGUACGGCUCAACCGUAUUUUGUCGGCAGAAACUGCAGGACUUGAGGCUGGGAGGGGCUGGUGGAAUUCCCUGUGUAGCGGUGAAAUGCGUAGAGAUGGGGGAGAACACUCGUGGCGAAGGCGGCCAGCUAGACCAGUUCUGACACUGAGGCGCGACAGCGUGGGGAGCAAACAGG
rnacentral:rRNA from 1 species